UACGGAGGGUGCAAGCGUUAUCCGGAUUCACUGGGUUUAAAGGGUGCGUAGGCGGCUUUGUAAGUCAGUGGUGAAAUAUGGCAGCUCAACUGUCAGGGUGCCAUUGAUACUGCGGAGCUUGAGUACAGAUGAGGUAGGCGGAAUUGACGGUGUAGCGGUGAAAUGCUUAGAUAUCGUCAAGAACACCGAUAGCGAAGGCAGCUUACUAGGCUGUAACUGACGCUGAGGCACGAAAGUGUGGGGAUCAAACAGG
rnacentral:rRNA from 1 species